UUGUCGGGUUGCCUCGAUGUUAUGGUGGGAAAUCCUAACAUGGUUUGGAACCUAUUGGGUGAUGCCAGGUACUGCGAAGGGUUUAACGUUCAGUUGGAUCUGUGGAGUAAGAAAGAGAAGACACAAGGCUUAGAGUGUUGCCCCACUUGCACUCAUGUCGGUUGUUUAGAGAAAAAGAAAUAGGAGAGCUUUUGUGGGCAUAGAGAUGAAUUUUGUACAUUUGAGGGAUAGCCUUCUAUCCCUUAUUUCCUUUUGGUGCACCCAUGAGAUUCCUAGUAGUCUAGAAGAUUGGGUGGCUUUCUUAGAAAACCAUCACUUUUUGUAGGUUUACUACUUUUUGGUAUACCUCUUGUAUAGGGGCUGUUUCUUAUUAAUGAAAUUUAUUUACCUUAUCACAAAAAGACCAAAAUAAUUAGCAGACUCUAGAGCUAAUAAUUUUGUUCUGACAAAUUCCCAUUUAACCUUCAGUCUCUUAGUAUUAAUGAGGAUUUAACUAAGAAUGGUUUACGAAAAGCAAGGAUCCAUAUAUGCAGUACCAACUAGUUGAGAUUAAGGUUUAAUUACACUUGCGCAUGUCCAGAAAGGGACAAUUGCGAGAUUCAGAGAACUUCCCGUCUCAGGAAAAUCUGUAUUUUUGACUUAAAAGACAAACUGAUUACCAAUAUUAGAGUGGUAUGUUCGCCCAAGGGUGUGGCCUAGUGGUCAAUGAAGUGGGUGGACAACCACGAGGCCCGGUCCUAAACGAGCCUCAUGGGUCGGGCUUAAACGGACC
rnacentral:lncRNA from 1 species